CUUGUAGUGUUUCACCAUGUCUCAGUGACUCUCACUGUUUGUUUAGAUGAUUUGGCGGCGGCAGCAGUGGCGGCGGCGGCAGCAGCAGCAGCAGAGGCAGAGGCAGCAGCAGCAGCAGCAGCAGCAGAUGUGACUAGUGUAUUCAACAAGCAUGCAAUCAAGAGUGCUACUUCCCUCUCAGGGAAUGCAGAGCAGUGAGAAAAGCCCAGCAGGUCAUAAUAACUCCAACCCAUUGGCUACAUGUGGACCACAUGGAGCCCAACAUCACUGGAUACAUCUACAACACAAGUCCUGUACCUAAGGCUCAGCCUGUCUCACUGGAGAGCCUUCAGAAGCCGUCAUCAGACAUGGUGCAUCUACACCCUUCAUCCCUCCUGCAGGACCUGCCCAACACUCUCCUUGAACAAGUGACACUCUUUUCAGUCAUUACAGAUUUUCCUGUAAGCAGGUAUUCAUUAAUAAAACUCUUCCUUUGUCGAGAUU